rnacentral:rRNA from 1 species
AGCGAACGCUGGCGGCAGGCCUAACACAUGCAAGUCGAACGAACCUUUCGGGGUUAGUGGCGGACGGGUGAGUAACACGUGGGAACGUGCCUUUAGGUUCGGAAUAACUCAGGGAAACUUGUGCUAAUACCGAAUGUGCCCUUCGGGGGAAAGAUUUAUCGCCUUUAGAGCGGCCCGCGUCUGAUUAGCUAGAUGGUUGAGGUAAUGGCUCACCAAGGCGACGAUCAGUAGCUGGUCUGAGAGGAUGAUCAGCCACAUUGGGACUGAGACACGGCCCAAACUCCUACGGGAGGCAGCAGUGGGGAAUCUUGCGCAAUGGGCGAAAGCCUGACGCAGCCAUGCCGCGUGAAUGAUGAAGGUCUUAGGAUUGUAAAAUUCUUUCACCGGGGACGAUAAUGACGGUACCCGGAGAAGAAGCCCCGGCUAACUUCGUG